rnacentral:misc_RNA from 1 species
UUAAUGAUAAGAUUACGAGGUGACAGAAUUGAAUUUGUUUCUGCUUUGAUUACGGAAGCAAUUUUAAGUAACUGUCUUGUUUCAAUGUAUUUCAAUUUUGGGCUUUGUUUUAAUCUUAAAUGUUAGUAGAAUCAUAGAUUUUUAAAAUAACACGUACAUGUAAUUUAAAGAUAUGGCAAUGAUUUUUAAAUAUAGGUACAUUUUGAACAAGUCUAAUUAAAUAAAUGAAUUGUGAGAAUGAUAAAAACUAAAUUCUGCUGGUUAUUAUUUAAUUAUCACUGAGAGGCUGUCUGAAACAUAUGUCUGGCACAUGUCUGAUACAUAUUUCAAUACGCGUUUUUCUCAAAUUAACAUGGGUGAAAACCAGCUCGCAGCUAGUACAUAAUAUAUAAUUGAAGUGACUUAUUCUACUAUUUGAAAUAAACA